rnacentral:rRNA from 1 species
UACGGGGGGGCAAGCGUUGUUCGGAAUUACUGGGCGUAAAGGGCUCGUAGGCGGCCAACUAAGUCAGACGUGAAAUCCCUCGGCUUAACCGGGGAACUGCGUCUGAUACUGGAUGGCUUGAGUUUGGGAGAGGGAUGCGGAAUUCCAGGUGUAGCGGUGAAAUGCGCAGAUAAUCGGGAGGAACACCGGUGGCGAAGGCGGUUCUCUGGGCCUUACCUGACGCUGAGGAGCGAAAGCGUGGGGAGCGAACAGG